GUCCCGGCCCUAGUGAAAACACUGAAUCCUACUCAUUUUGAUUCCUUCUCCUUUGUUUGGAGCCGAUUUCGCCAUCGGCCAGAGCGGGGCACCUGGCUCACACCAAAACGAAUGCAAUCACUUUUCACCCGGUUCAAACUCCUGUCACCGGGUAACCCUGGCCAGAUAACGGAUCCCUGUUAUUUCAUCGCCCCCAACGCUGUCAAAGGAUCACGGCCGUUUGAGACGGAAUAGCCCAAGCUAUACGGAUCGACCAACUAUGAUUUGCACGCCCUGCCGAAGGACACAAUCAUGGGACAAAGUGCAGAGUUCUGUGCCAGACUGAUCCCCUGGUCAUGAACGGAUACCGGGACCUACCAGAAGGAGCAACGCUUGUCAGGCAAGACCUCAGAAUAAAGGUGUAAUGUGACACAAAAGAACACACCAUCAUGAGGCAUCUGAUAGUGACCCGAGUUACUGCCUUGAUGACGCAGACGGCUUCAUCAACAACGACAGGCCCUACCAGUCAACACCACCUCAUAAGACUGCCUGCUGCAGUUGUUAGAGAGAUGUCCAGUUUGCAGCUGAACAUGGAGAAGACCAGCAAGGGGGUCCUCGUCAGCACCAUGCAGACAUUCCUAUGAAUGGAACAGUCAGCCACAUGUUGACGAGUAUCCGGCCAGCAACCUUCACCUGUCAGCGACAACAUCUUUCACUGUCUCAUCAUUUGUACAAAUACAGAAGAAACAUGUAUGGAGUCAGCACAUGGAGACUUGCAAGAU